CCUACGGGUGGCAGCAGUGGGGAAUAUUGCACAAUGGGGGAAACCCUGAUGCAGCGACGCCGCGUGAGUGAAGAAGUAUUUCGGUAUGUAAAGUCCUAUUAGUAGGGAAGAAAAUGACGGUAUCUGAUUAAGAAGCACCGGCUAACUACGUGCCAGCAGCCGCGGUAAUACGUAGGGGGCAAGCGUUACCCGGAUUCACUGGGUGUAAAGGGCGCGUAGGCGGGAGAGCAAGUCUGGAGUGAAAUGCCAUGGCUUAACCCCGGAACUGCAUUUGAAACUGUUCAGCUAGAGUACGGGAGAGGUAAGUGGAAUUCGUAGUGUAGCGGUAAAAUGCGUAGAGAUUAAGAGGAACACUAAUGGCGAAGGCGACUUACUAGACUAUAACUGACGUUGAGGCGCGAAAGCGUGGGGAGCAAACAGGAUUAGAUACCCUUGUAGUC
rnacentral:rRNA from 1 species